rnacentral:lncRNA from 1 species
CUUAAUUCUGAGGGAGGAGUGUUUCAGAGGAUCCUGGAGCACAGGUGACCGGCUCUCUCCCACUGAAGCUGCUGGUGAAGACAAACCAGCGACAAGACCCGGUCAGAGGGGCUGGCGCUGCCCCACGCCCCUCUGCCAGCUGACGCCUCCUGCUAAAAACAGCGGGGCCCGGGGGGACUAUGGGCUUUCAGGCUUCCCCCUCCACGCCAGGACAGGUAUUAAAGAGGCCGACGCCCAGCCAGGCCGACUGGACACCAUGCUCUUCACCGAGACGGCCCACUUCGUGGUGAAUUUUCUUCUGUACCGGCGCCCCCGGGCCACUCUCCCGUACCGCCUGGACCAGGAGUUGUGUUUCUGGGGCUGCCGGGGCCCGGCCUUGCCGCCUGUCGCCACCCGCAGCAGCCUGGGCGAUUACUGGCUGAGCCCGCAGCGCCGGCGCCCACCGGGCGCCACCUGGCGCUGGCCCGCUCGCAAUAUGCUGCUACUGCCAGGGGCCACCGGGCUGGCGGAUAUACCCUCGGCGCGCUGGCCCAGCUGCUACGGCGUUCGCCCGCGCCUCACGUGGAAGCACCGGUGGCAGAAUAUUAACUACCAGUAUCUGGGCAAGAGGAAGAGACAUCUAGUUCCUCUGCGCCCGUGAGAGCCGGU